GCCAGCAUGGAUAAGUGGUUUGAGCAUUAGACUAUGGCUCUGGAGACCAGGGUUCAAAUUCCUGUUCGGCCA